ensembl:lncRNA
UGCAGCAGUGUGCCUAAUGCAUGUGUUAUUGGGCUCAGCCAGGUGCUGUGCUCAGCAUGACCUAUACACUUGCUGUAGCAACAGGCAUAACUUAUUUCUAACAUGCAGAUGGUGACUCACAGUGUUCAUGUCAUUAGCACUGCCACGCUGGUUCAAACUCCACUCUAGUUUUAUACAAACAGGUGUACCCAGUGUUGGCGUUUUUCUCCAGUCUCUUUUAACCUUAGCCAUUUUCUUUGUGGCUGUUUUGGCUUUUCUUCUAGAGCACACUGUUUCAGGUAAAACAGCACUGAAAUAUAUUACUGUUCAAAACAUUGUGGUCUAAAAAUUUUUUUUUUUUCAUGUUUUUGGAAGCAUUCUCUUAUUCUCCA